rnacentral:rRNA from 2 species
UGGGGAAUAUUGGGCAAUGGGCGAAAGCCUGACCCAGCAACGCCGCGUGAGGGAAGAAGGGUUUCGGCUCGUAAACCUCUGUCCUAUGGGACGAAUAAAUGACGGUACCAUAGGAGGAAGCCCCGGCUAACUACGUGCCAGCAGCCGCGGUAAUACGUAGGGGGCGAGCGUUGUCCGGAAUGAUUGGGCGUAAAGGGCGCGUAGGCGGCCUGUUAAGUCUGGAGUGAAAGUCCUGCUUUCAAGGUGGGAAUUGCUUUGGAUACUGAUGGGCUCGAGUGCAGGAGAGGAAAGCGGAAUUACCGGUGUAGCGGUGAAAUGCGUAGAGAUCGGUAGGAACACCAGUGGCGAAGGCGGCUUUCUGGACUGAAACUGACGCUGAGGCGCGAAAGCGUGGGGAGCAAACAGG